rnacentral:rRNA from 1 species
GAUGAACGCUGACAGAAUGCUUAACACAUGCAAGUCAACUUGAACUUCGGUUUGGGUGGCGGACGGGUGAGUAACGCGUAAAGAACUUGCCUCACAGAUAGGGACAACAUUUGGAAACGAAUGCUAAUACCUGAUAUUAUGAUUAUAUGGCAUCGUAUAAUUAUGAAAGCUAUAUGCGCUGUGAGAGAGCUUUGCGUCCCAUUAGCUAGUUGGAGGGGUAACGGCUCACCAAGGCGAUGAUGGGUAGCCGGCCUGAGAGGGUGAUCGGCCACAAGGGGACUGAGACACGGCCCUUACACCUACGGGAGGCAGCAGUGGGGAAUAUUGGACAAUGGACCAAGAGUAUGAUCCAGCAAUUCUGUGUGCACGAUGAAGUUUUUCGGAAUGUAAAGUGCUUUCAGUUGGGAAGAAAAAAAUGACGGUACCAACAGAAGAAGUGACGGCUAAAUACGUG